AGGAGGAGGAAGGUGUAGCUGAGGCAGGUGAGUGUUAACAUGAAUAUGUUUCUUCUUAUGACAUAAAAUAAUUCCACGCUGUUCGUGUCUGUGGGUGAAACGUGAGGCCGGUCGGCUCCUCUGAGCGCUGGUUUCCUGUAAGUAGAGAGGAAGUGAGUUUAGCUGAGCCUCCGUUUAGUGUGAGAGAGCAGGAGGAGAGUGAGAGCUGUGCUGAGGCAGGGUGAGUGUUAACACCGCUCUGACAUUACUGUGUCUCUGUGGCGGGAACAACAGGCUCCGUCAGUGGAGGCAAAAAUAAUCAGACUUUGGUUUUUCAAAGGAAACAACUUUAUGUCGGAAGUUCCCGCACGCUCAUUGGAUAACGAUGUGUCAAUCUCGAGCUAUUAGCCAAUGAGCGUGCGGAUUCACAGAAAGACCCGCCUUCAUCACGGGACUUUAAAAACUACAAUGGCGACAAAAACUCCGUGAGUGGAGUUCAGGCUGACGUCAUGAAACUGUGACGUUUGAGCCACUUCCUGUUCUCAGUCCCAGCGUCCUGAUCACCGAGGUUUCUGUUGCUCUGAUAUCUGAUAUUGAUUAUUUUGGUAAACAGGCUGUAGCAUAAACAUCAGACUAACUCCACCCUGACAUCAAGAAGAUGGAGGAAAAGGAUGGAGCAGGAUCUGCAGCAUCCAGCUGUGUGUCUGUGAGGAGUGACCGGUCCAAAGGAAGAGUUCCAGACUUCAGUAAUGAACCUGCAGCAACAAUAGCUUCUGCACAGUGUGGAGAAAGAUCCAGAAGCAGAGCUGGACUGCAGACAGCCAGUCAGAGCAGCUGUGUACAAACAGAUGUUGGUCUGCAGGAGGUUUUAGAUGAA